rnacentral:rRNA from 1 species
CAGCAGCCGCGGUAAUACGUAGGGUGCGAGCGUUGCCCGGAUUUAUUGGGCGUAAAGGGCGCGUAGGCGGUCACGCACGUCCGUUGUGAAAUCGCUCGGCUCAACUGGGCGGGGUCAGCGGAUACGGCGUGGCUGGAGCAAGCUAGGGGGCAAUGGAAUUCCCGGUGUAGUGGUGGAAUGCGUAGAUAUCGGGAGGAACACCAGUGGCGAAGGCGGUUGCCUGGAGCUUUGCUGACGCUGAUGCGCGAAAGCGUGGGGAGCGAUCCGGAUUAGAUACCCCGGUAGUCCUAGCCGUAAACGAUGGAUACUAGGUGUAUGUGGUAUCGACUCCAUAUGUGCCGUAGUUAACACAGUAAGUAUCCCGCCUGGGGAGUACGGCCGCAAGGUUAAAACUCAAAGGAAUUGACGG